GACGAACGCUGGCGGCGUGCUUAACACAUGCAAGUCGAACGGAAAGGCCCUGCUUUUGUGGGGUGCUCGAGUGGCGAACGGGUGAGUAACACGUGAGUAACCUGCCCUUGACUUUGGGAUAACUUCAGGAAACUGGGGCUAAUACAGGAUAGGAGCUCCUGCUGCAGGGUGGGGGUUGGAAAGUUUCGGCGGUUGGGGAUGGACUCGCGGCUUAUCAGCUUGUUGGUGGGGUAGUGGCUUACCAAGGCUUUGACGGGUAGCCGGCCUGAGAGGGUGACCGGCCACCUUGGGCCUGCGAUACGGCCCAGACUCCUACGGGAGGCAGCAGUGGGGAAUAUUGCACAAUGGGCGGAAGCCUGAUGCAGCAACGCCGCGUGCGGGAUGCCGGCCUUCGAGUUGUAAACCGCUUUCGCCUGUGACGAAGCGUGAGUGACGGUAAUGGGUAAAGAAGCACCGGCUAACUACGUG
rnacentral:rRNA from 1 species